CUGGGCUAGAAUGCCUCUGACAACUCCAGAGAUGGAGCUUUCUAGGGAAACCUGGACGGAGUGCAAGGUGCUGCAUGGCUGUCGUCAGCUCGUGUCGUGAGAUGUUGGGUUAAGUCCCGCAACGAGCGCAACCCUUAUCGAUAGUUGCUAGCGGUUCGGCCGAGCACUCUAUUGAGACUGCCGUUGACAAAACGGAGGAAGGUGGGGAUGACGUCAAGUCCUCAUGGCCUUUAUGUCCAGGGCUACACACGUGCUACAAUGGCAAGUACAAAGCGCUGCAAACUCGCGAGAGGGAGCCAAUCGCAAAAAGCUUGUCUCAGUUCGGAUUGGAGUCUGCAACUCGACUCCAUGAAGCUGGAAUCGCUAGU
rnacentral:rRNA from 1 species